UGACGCUCUCGGCGCGUGACGUCGCACGCUGUGGUAUAAAUAAAGACCGCGCGGGGGUUGCUUCCUCUGUGCUCGCGCGGCCGGCUCGCAACAUGGCGCCUCAGAAAGACAAGAAACCCAAGAAGUCGACCUGGAAGUUUAAUUUGGACCUUACUCAUCCGGUGGAGGAUGGAAUUUUUGAUUCUGGAAAUUUUGGUGCCUUCCCUAGUGAACAUCUAGGGUUCUCUUCCCUAGUUUUGCAUUCUUUCUGUUUUAAAAUAGGAGCAGUUUCUACGGGAGAAGGUUAAAGUUAAUGGCAAGACUGGAAAUCUCGGGAAUGUUGUUCACAUUGAACGCUUCAAGAAUAAAAUCACUGUUGUUUCUGAGAAACAGUUCUCUAAAAGGUAUUUGAAAUACCUUACCAAGAAAUACCUUAAGAAGAACAAUCUUCGUGAUUGGCUUCGAGUGGUUGCAUCUGACAAGGAGACAUAUGAACUUCGUUACUUCCAGAUUAGUCAAGAUGAAGAUGAAUCAGAGUCAGAGGACUAGGCAAAGGCUUCCCUUACAGGGCUUUGCUUAUUAAUAAAAUAAAUGAAGUAUACAUGAGAAAUACCAAGAAAUUGGCUUUUAGUUUAUCAGUGAAUAAAAAAUACUGUACUC